UCCAGAGCCCCUGUCGGACUCGGCCCGGAGCAAGAUGUGGACAGGGAUCGCAGGCAUCAUCCUGGGCCUGGUCUUCCUGGUCCCGGGACUCCUCCUCUACCUGAAGAACAAGAAAGGGAACGUUCUGCCCCAGUCUCCAGCGGCACUCAUGAGCUAGAUAUCUGCAUUUCAUGGACAAGGCAAGGAAUCCGCUUCCCUUCCCACCGACAGCUGCGUGUUUUCCUUCCUUGGAGGAUGCAAAAUUUGGAGGAGACACAAAAGGAGAGGAGAGGAAAGGAGAGGAGGACCCUAACCUUAGCCUUAACCUUCAACUUAAUGCUAACCCAAACCCAAACCAGUUCCCUGCCCUCGCUUUGGGUUUAUUUGCUUCUGGGUGAUUUAUUUGCAAGUUUUCAAUUUACAAAGCUGACUAUGUUUCCCCUUUUCCCAGUUCCUUGUUGGCAUGAAAUGCCAAAACGCAUCCAAGGGAUCCAAGGGUCUCUUCUGCACUGCACAGUUAGACCACUUUAAAUGCCUUUCAAUUCCUGGGAUUUCUAGUUUUCUGUGGUGCUCAUAAUUCUCCUCUGGGGAGCCCUGGUGUGCCAUGAAGCUACAAGGGGAAUAUUAUACCUAUCCAAGGAUUGGCUGUGUUGGCCAUAUAGCAAAAUGCAAUAACAUCCCAAAUGCACAAAACAGGGCUACCUUUAUUCGGCCAACCAAACAUGAGCCAGCAAUGUGAUGUUGCAGCAAAGAAGGUGAAUGUUAUUUUAGUUUGCGUUAUUGGAAGCAUAGUCCUACGACAUUUUGUUUUGGUGAGGAAUCCUCAUCUGGAGUCCUGAGGGCAAUUCUGGGCACCUUUUAAGACGGAUAGAGACAACUAAUGGGUUCAGAGAAAGACAGAGAAGGAUGAUCAGAGGGAUAGAGAACAUAAUCUAUAAGGAGAGCUUGAAGGACCUGGGCAUUUUCAGCUUGAAGAGAAGGCUGAGGUGUGUCAUGGUGGCCCUCUUUAAACCUCCCUCAAGGACUGCCCCAGAGAAGAAGGGGGCAUAUCUGUUCCCUACGGAGCCCAAGGGUAGGACCAGGUCUAAUGGUUUGCAAUUACAGGAGGGCAUUGAACAUUAGAAGCAAGGUCUUCAUAAAGAGGCUGCUGGGGAUGCUCUGGCUGGAUGUCCUGCCCUGGACUGGAUGGCCUCUGGGAACCCCUUCCAGCUCUAUGGUUGUAGGGUUAUAAAAGCUAGAAUCCCAUACACUGAACCCAGGAUAGUCUUCGUGGUGGGACCCAAGCGGUCUAAGUGUGGAAGAGACCUAGUGCAUAAGGACAGGAGGCUCCUUUCCCAGCCAUUUUUGAGAGAUGAUGGCGGUGAUGGGAGUUCCUGCAUGGCAGAAAGCGGUUGGACUGGACCAGGGCCCUAUGAUUCUUCGAUAAACAGGGAAACAGACACUUGCCUCUUUGUACAUUUCCAGGUACUUUUAUGCCAAUAACACUGUAUUUGUAUACUCUCUCCUUUUCACCUUGGUUAGUCUUGCAACAAGCCGUGCAAAUAGGAA